GAAGCAGACACCGCCCAUCUCUACAAGUGAAGAAUACUUUACUUUUCCUCACGACUUCAGUUCAACGAACACAACGCCGCAGUUUCAGCUUGAAAUAAGUAGUUUAAGAAGCUGAGCAUAUAACGCUGUUCAGAGAAGAAAGAGAGUCACGCAGGUCUGGAGGGACGUAAAGAAGCAGGCAUGAGUGCUGAUAAUGUGCUGCUGCUGUUCACACUGCUUUGGACUUUCACAGCUGUCUGUCAAGCUGAUGAAGAGAUCAGUUUAAGCUGUGAUGAUGUGACUGGAUCUGUGGGGAAAGAAGUAACUCUCAGCUGCAGCGUCUCUCUGCCGAACGCUGACUGCUGCAUUGAUUUUUUUAAAUACUAUGAGAUGUAUGAAGGCUCAGUAAUCUGUAUGAAUUGGUUUCUUCGUGACUCCUGUGAACACAGAAACAGCUUCACAUGCCGCUACACUCCAACUACAGCAAUGACAGAACAAUUCAGAUUCUUUGUGGUUACAACAUGUGGAGUGAAGGGAACAGAAUUCACUGUGGACUUAUCAGACCCCACUAAACCUGAAAUUGACAUUGAACAUCCUGAGAUCAGUGUAAGCUGUGAUGAUGUGACUGGAUCUGUGGGGAAAGAAGUAACUCUCAGCUGCAGCGUCUCUCUGCCGAACGCUGACUGCUGCAUUGAUUUUUUUAAAUACUAUGAGAUGUAUGAAGGCUCAGUAAUCUGUAUGAAUUGGUUUCUUCGUGACUCCUGUGAACACAGAAACCGCUUCACAUGCCGCUACACUCCAACUACAGCAAUGACAGAACAAUUCAGAUUCUUUGUGGUUACAACAUGUGGAGUGAAGGGAACAGAAUUCACUGUGGACUUAUCAGGUAUACUGUUUAUUUAUCAUUCACUAAAUCUUUGUACAUUUAUGUUGAAUCUAGUAACACUGGUUUAAAAUCUGUUAACAUAGCUCUUGAUACGUGAAACUGAUCCUGAAGCUCCUGACGAGACAGGACACCAAGAUUUUGAGGCCAGUGGAGGUCAACACAUGGAAGAAGUUGAGCGGGACCCAGAUUAAUAAAGAAUUCUACUAUAUGACACAAUACUGAUUUCAAGAAAUGCAUGUAGAGAGUGAAAUUCCUCUUAAAGCAACACGGAAACACCUCGCUGGAGGCUCAACACCGGAGGCUUGUAUUGUUUGAGAUGAUGGACAACUUUCAACAAGCUGCGUUCAUAUUUUGACACGUGUGAUUUAACAACUUCAUGUGCAUUUAGAGCUGAUUCAAUGCGUUAAAAACCUGUGAGGGACAGAUUUUGCAAUGACAGAUUCUCUCAAGUGUUUAUUAAUGGAUUCAGUUUCAUUUAUAUAUCACUCCCCACAAUGCUAGUAGUUCUAAAGCAGCUUUAUUAAAAAACAAUGUGCCACACACAGAGGAAAUCUCUCUAUUGUGUUGCAUUAGUACACCGCCUGCACUCUUUGAUGGAGGUCAUGUGUGUAACUAUAACACGGAGGAGCAGUGCCAUUAAAGCUCUUGCCAUAUUAAACUGAUUAAUAAUCAGAUUCUGAUCACCAAACCAGAAAUGAGCCAAUAUCGUCACUUUUGUUUUAAUGUAUUGGAAUGGCGUUUGGUCUGUCGUCAUCAUUAUGGCAUGAAGGGGAAUCAUCAGUACUGCUGGUCAACAGUGUUAUAGAUUAUACACCUGUGUGUCACGUUCUGUCGUGAAAGAGAAAGUUUAGUAUUUAUAGCUGGAGAGAGUCAGAGCUGAAUGAACUCACGCAGAGCACAGGUGAGCAAUAACUCUCUCUAUAUUCACUAAUUCAUAACCCGCUGCUGGAAAACCAUCAAUACAUGCACGGUGCUUUCCUAAUAUGUGAUUCACGCAGACAUUUCAAAACGCCUAUGAAUAUAGACAACUUACUCUGUGAGUACUGUGUAAUUAUCCUAUCCUGCAUUACUUGAAAUAUAAGUCAUCUAAAGCUGCAUUAGAUGUUGGUGUUUCCUGAAGCAUAAAGGAAGAGUUCACGAAUAGAAAACCAAAAUAUAUAUAAAAUUCUGUCAUCAUUUAAUCACGCUUGGGUCAUUUUAAACUCAUUACAAACCAUGAAAGUUGUCCAUGUGGCUUUGAGUAUCACCUAAAAUAUUCUUAAUUGAACUGAUUUAAUCCAAUCAAACUUUUGCUGAUAAAUGUUGACGUUUCUUCUGAGCUUUCAGUAACUCUUCCUCUGUAAUCUACUUUGUAAUCUGUAGUGCUUCCUUAUCAGUCCUCAGUUUCAUUAUUACAUUGUCUUUCCACAAAGGCAGUAAUAGAUGGUUAUCUUUGCUGUUGGUUUAGCUUGAUCAAGUAUAUCCAACAUGUCAGUCAUUAAUAUCGCUUUAGGUAUUACAUUCUGACAGAUUUUACUGUAACACAAAAAUCUCUUAAAUAAAACAUUUGACUUCAUAUUCUCAUAUUUUUGUGCAGAAUUGGACUGUUGUCUUGAUGGAAUCCAUGUGUUCUGCACAGAUCGAUGGGCUUUCAGUGGCCGUUAUAUUACAAACACAUCUUUGACCAGCAACACUAGAGCUGUCUUCUCUCAGUGAACACAUGCUUGCUUCCAGACGUCCGCCACGGUCUCGUUGUUUAAGGUCUCACGGUAAACCCUCAUAUACCUGUGGAGGAAAAGCACAUUCCUGGAUAAUAUAUUAGUCGUGGGUUUCAGAGAAUAAACGAGAUCCUUUACUGACUUGAGAAUGUGUGAAGAUAGUAAAGCUCUUACGGAGAGAACAACCUGUCAAAGACCCCCGGAUCAUUGCCCCAAAUAUACCACCAGCCUUUAACCUAAAACAUCUCCUGUGAAUCACAGAAUAUAAAUAUAUACUUUUAAAUCACCAAAAAAUGUAAAACAUUACAUAAAAUAAGUCAAUUGUGUUCUUUAUCAAUCAAGUUUGGCCUGUUCACACCAAGAACUAUAACUAUAUCUUUGUCUAUAAGGUUAUAACAAUUAUUCUAAUCUUUCUAAGAGAAUUGAGAAGUUCACAUCAUAACUAUAACAAUAGCGACACAGAGGAAAUAUACUGGUCUAAAUUAUUAUUUUGGAGGUUUAAAAGACAAUUAAUAUUCAGUAAUAACUAAGUUAAGCUGGAUAAUGACACUAACUUUACAACAUCCACGCUGUUAUUGAACACUUAAACUGAACAAUUACACGAUUGUCUUCUGUAUCGCUGCUUCACAGAUCAAACUGAAUGUGUUUCAUCAUUAACUUUGCAACAUUUCCCUGUUUAUUAAAAUGAGAAAUUGCUUUGAAACAAUCUGUAUUACACAAAGUGUUAUAUGUAAGUAAACGUGACAAAAUAAAUAAAUGUGAAAUAAGUAAAUAACUUCUUAAGAGAAAUACUAAACAUAAGAUCUUGAAACAAAAUGAGAACAAUUAAAAAGAAAAAAAAUCUUCUGUAGCUUCUUAAAAGCAAAAAAAAAAAAAAGAUUUAUACACAAAAUUAGAACAAUUCACACUGAUCAUACUGUUAAUAGGUUAUUGUUUACAACCCCAUGUUGAGUUCUUGAACACUAAUGAAUGUUUGAAUAUUCACUGAUAUUCAUUUAAACUUGUUCACAUAACUAAUGAACUUUGCAGCAUUCACAUUGUUAUUGAACUGAACUGAAUCAACACUGAACUCAAUUAAUCUGAAUAAUGACACUGUUGUCUGUUUAGAGCUGCUUUACAGCUAAAUUUGAUUCAUAAAUGAAGAACACUGCAGCUUUACUGGUAUUUUCUUGUUUAUUACUGUCAAUACUGCUAUAGAAAUAAAUCUGACUUGACUUGAAUGUUUGAAUCUUAUAGUAUGAGUCCUCAGUGAAAGAAGAUGGAUCUCAGAAUCAUACAGUCACUGUUGGAAGGGGUUCAAAUAUGCAGAAGAUGCUGAAAAACCACAGAACGAGCAGAACCCAGAAGACCUUUCUGAAGAACUGGAGGCAGUUUAAAUGCUCAGGACUCAUUAAAGCCAUACAUUAAUCCACUUCU